CGACAAAAGCUCAAAUUUGAAAUCUGGCGCCUUCGGUGUCCGAGUUGUAAUUUGAAGAAGGUAACUUUGGUUUUGGCUCUUGUCUAUGUUCCUUGGAACAGGACGUCACAGAGGGUGAGAAUCCCGUGCGAUGAGAUGCCCAAUUCCAUGUAAAGUGCUUUCGAA
rnacentral:rRNA from 1 species